AUCUAGAUGACGAGUCCUAAAUCGGACGAAAUGCACAUCCUGAAU
rnacentral:hammerhead_ribozyme from 1 species